ACAGGGAUUGCCCUAGUAACGGCGAGUGAAGCGGCAACAGCUCAAAUUUGAAAUCUGGCGCAAGCCCGAGUUGUAAUUUGUAGAGGAUGCUUCUAGGUAGCGACCGGUCUAAGUUCCUUGGAACAGGACGUCAUAGAGGGUGAGAAUCCCGUAUGUGACCGGCCCGCACCUUCUACGUAGCUCCUUCGACGAGUCGAGUUGUUUGGGAAUGCAGCUCUAAAUGGGAGGUAAAUUUCUUCUAAAGCUAAAUACCGGCCAGAGACCGAUAGCGCACAAGUAGAGUGAUCGAAAGAUGAAAAGCACUUUGGAAAGAGAGUUAAAAAGCACGUGAAAUUGUUGAAAGGGAAGCGCUCACAACCAGACUUCUGGGCGGUGUUCCGCCGGUCUUCUGACCGGUCUACUCGCCGUCCCGAGGCCAACAUCAUCUGGGACCGCUGGAUAAGACCUCAGGAAUGUAGCUUCCCUCGGGAAGUGUUAUAGCCUGUGGUGAUGCAGCGCGUCUCGGGUGAGGUCCGCGCUUCGGCAAGGAUGUUGGCGUAAUGGUUGUCAGCGGCCCGUCUUGAAACACGGACCAAGGAGUCUAACAUCUAUGCGAGUGUUCGGGUGUCAAACCCCUACGCGUAAUGAAAGUGAACGGAGGUGGGAAGCGCAAGCUGCACCAUCGACCGAUCCUGAUGUCCUCGGAUGGAUUUGAGUAAGAGCAUAGCUGUUGGGACCCGAAAGAUGGUGAACUAUGCCUGAAUAGGGUGAAGCCAGAGGAAACUCUGGUGGAGGCUCGCAGCGGUUCUGACGUGCAAAUCGAUCGUCAAAUUUGGGUAUAGGGGCGAAAGACUAAUCGAACCAUCU
rnacentral:rRNA from 1 species